GCUGGGCGUGGUGGCGCAGGCCUGUAAUCUCAGCUACUCGGGAGGCUGAGGCAGGAGAAUCGCUUGAGCCUGGGAGGCAGAGGUUGCAGUGAGCUGAGAUCAUGCCGCUGCACUCCAGCCUAGGAAACAGAGCGAGACUCUGUCUCAA
rfam:Pan troglodytes isolate Yerkes chimp pedigree #C0471 (Clint) chromosome 19, whole genome shotgun sequence.